rnacentral:tRNA from 1 species
UGUGAUGUAGCUCAGUUGGUAGAGCAGCUGAUUGUUAAUCAGCCGGUCCGUGGUUCGAUCCCAUGCUUCACAGCCA